AGAGUUUGAUUCUGGCUCAGAACGAACGCUGGCGGCGUGGAUAAGACAUGCAAGUCGAACGAGAGAAUUGCUAGCUUGCUAAUAAUUCUCUAGUGGCGCACGGGUGAGUAACACGUGAGUAACCUGCCCCCGAGAGCGGGAUAGCCCUGGGAAACUGGGAUUAAUACCGCAUAGUAUCGAAAGAUUAAAGCAGCAAUGCGCUUGGGGAUGGGCUCGCGGCCUAUUAGUUAGUUGGUGAGGUAACGGCUCACCAAGGCGAUGACGGGUAGCCGGUCUGAGAGGAUGUCCGGCCACACUGGAACUGAGACACGGUCCAGACACCUACGGGUGGCAGCAGUCGAGAAUCAUUCACAAUGGGGGAAACCCUGAUGGUGCGACGCCGCGUGGGGGAAUGAAGGUCUUCGGAUUGUAAACCCCUGUCAUGUGGGAGCAAAUUAAAAAGAUAGUACCACAAGAGGAAGAGACGGCUAACUCUGUGCCAGCAGCCGCGGUAAUACAGAGGUCUCAAGCGUUGUUCGGAAUCACUGGGCGUAAAGCGUGCGUAGGCUGUUUCGUAAGUCGUGUGUGAAAGGCGCGGGCUCAACCCGCGGACGGCACAUGAUACUGCGAGACUAGAGUAAUGGAGGGGGAACCGGAAUUCUCGGUGUAGCAGUGAAAUGCGUAGAUAUCGAGAGGAACACUCGUGGCGAAGGCGGGUUCCUGGACAUUAACUGACGCUGAGGCACGAAGGCCAGGGGAGCGAAAGGGAUUAGAUACCCCUGUAGUCCUGGCAGUAAACGGUGCACGCUUGGUGUGCGGGGAAUCGACCCCCUGCGUGCCGGAGCUAACGCGUUAAGCGUGCCGCCUGGGGAGUACGGUCGCAAGAUUAAAACUCAAAGAAAUUGACGGGGACCCGCACAAGCGGUGGAGUAUGUGGCUUAAUUCGAUGCAACGCGAAGAACCUUACCUGGGCUAGACA
rnacentral:rRNA from 1 species